UAGAUUCAAAGCGAAGAACCUUAUCUGGUCUUGACAUACACGGAAUUCGGCAGAGAAGCCUUAGAGCCUUCGGGAGCCGUGAGACAGGUGGUGCAUGACCGUUGUCAGCUAAUGUUUUGAAAUUUUGGGUUAAGUCCCGCAACGAACGCAACCCUUAUCCUUCGUUGCCAGCGGUUCGGCCGGGAACUCAAAGGAGACUGCCACUGAUAAACUGGAGGAAGGUGGGGAUGACGUCAAGUCAUCAAGGCCCUUACGACCAGGGCUACACACGUGAUACAAUGGGGUAUACAAAGAGAAGCGAGACAGCGAAGUGGAGCGGACCUCAUAAAGUACGUGGUAGUCCGGAUCGGAGUCUGCAACUCGACUCCGUGAAGUCGGAAUCGCUAGUAAUCGUGGAUCAGAAUACCACGGUGAAUACGUUCCCGGGCCUUGUACACCCCGCCCGUCUCACCAUGGGAGUGGGUUGCAAAAGAAGUAGGUAGCUUGACCUUCGGGAGGGCGCUUACCACUUUGUGUUUCAUGAGUGGGGAGAAGUGGUAACAAGGUACCCAAGGGGGG
rnacentral:rRNA from 1 species